GUCUUGUGUUUCGCUCUAUUCCUGAUCUGGGCUAUUCCAGUUGAAAGUGACUAAAUUUUAUACUCUUCAGGAAAUUCAGGGAAUCAAAGAAAAUCACCAAGUACCUUCUCACGUGGGUGGAUAUCUCAAAUCGCUUGACACUGCUGGCUGGGCACCUUGUGCUGGAGGACCAGCACCAAUUCUCAGCAAACUCACAGCUGGACCGUACCAGAGAUCUGUUUUGAUUGAGUGACUUGACAAGCUCAAUGGGUCCACUGCAU